AAAAAAAAACAACAACAACAAAACAAAAAAAUAAGUCUUUUUCUCUUUGUUGUAGUUCAGGGGUGUGAGUAUUUGCAGAAACUGGUUACAAAAGAGGCCUUCUCCAGAUUUCACAGAGGUGUUGAGCACCAGGCGACACCUAAGCUAACGCUCAACAAAACCUACAUUAAAGAUAUAACUACUUUCCACUGUGCUGGAGCCCUCUGCAGCAGAGGGGUCGGUCAGCUCGGAGGAGAAGAGGCCACAACCGAGGGGGGGGCCCAGAGGGCCGGGAACACUGCGCCUCCUCACCUGGGUCCUCGCUGGCGGCGGGGCAGGACGCUGAGGGCAAACCUCCCACCGCCGCGCCGACUGCGCAAAAACCCGCCCGGCCCAGGCCGCGGGCAGGCGGGAGACAGGCUAGCAGCCCCGGCGCCGCAGCGCAGGAAGCUACCGCGGGCCGGAAAGCGCCGAGCUCCCCCGCGACUCGCCGGCUGCCAAGCGGGGAGGAGGGAGAGGCGGGGGAGCGGCGGGGCGGGCACGCCGUCCCUCUGCGGAGCCCGCGGCCCGGCGCCGCGCAGAGCGGGACCAGGGGCUCCCCCCUCCGGCCCGGCCGGGCUGCGCUUAGGCACGGGCUCUGGCGAGCGAUUAAUUCAAGAUGGCGCCCGGCGCCCUCCGCCACCCCCCCCCCGCGCGCCGCCAUUUUGUCUCCUCCUCCACACACUCUCCGAACCCCCUUCGGCCGGGCCCGGGGCCUGGCACCGACCUCGCCCGCCUCCCCCCGGGCCCGCAACCGCCCCCCUCCGCUCCCGCCCCCCUCCCGCCGCCGUCCCCGCCGCCCAGAGCCGUCCCGGGCGCGCGGAAAACGCCGGCCCGAGCCCUGCGGCCCGCUCUGGUGCCGGAGCCCUGGCGCGGCCUACCUGCGGCCUCCUCGGGGCCUGCGCCGCGGCCUGCUGCGGGCAGGGGAAGGCCCGGGCCGGGCCGGGCGGCGGGGCCCGCUCCCGGGCUGCUUACCGUGCGGGUGGCGGGCGGCGGCGCUCGGCUCGGCGCGGCCUCUCUCAGCGCGACUGGGCCGAGCGCGGCGGCGGCUGCGGCGGGGCGGGCGGGCGGGAGGGGAGGGAGGGGCCGAGCUCGGAGCUGAGUGGAAGCGGCCAAGCUCCCCGGGCCGGGCCCGCCGUCAGCACGUCACGUCACUGCCCGAGAGAGACCCAGGAAAAGGCGGAAGGGAGCGCGCCGCCGCCGCUGCCCGCCGCCUCGGGCCAGCCGCCCGCCGGGACCGGGGCCUGUGCCGGGUGCGGCGCGGGAAAGGGUGGCGGCGGCGGUGGCGGCGGCGGCGGGAGGGGGAGGCGCGGCGCGGCGGCGCUCGGCUCCCCGCGGCUCCUCCUGCCGCCGCCUCCGCCGCUGCUCGGCCGCCAAGCGCCGCUCGGGGCUCUGCGUGCUCCCCCGGAGCGGAGCGGCCGUCCCGGGGACCCCCUCCCGGCCCGGCCCCUCCAUACCGGAGCCUCCCCCGCCCUAAGGCCGCUAUCCCGCGGUGCAGGCCCGCGGCCCGGCCUUGUUGUGAUGCUGCCCGGCGGGCCUCGGUCUGCCGCCGGCCUGGCCGAGGUGUCCCGGGGUGCGGAUAUGGGGGGAUUUUGGGGUGCAGAGAUGGAGCGAUGGGUGUUAGGGGGCCUCGGGUGGCCUUGUGUCACCGGGUGCGGUUGCACCCCGCAGGUAUUGCUAACAGUAAUAACAAUUAAGCAGAGGGGCCACAGAUUUCGGUGGGGAAAGCAGCUCCCGCACGCAAUGAAAGCAGUGCUACCCCCAGGGCUACUGGCACUUAUCUAA
rnacentral:lncRNA from 1 species